UACGUAGGGUGCGAGCGUUAAUCGGAUUUACUGGGCGUAAAGCGUGCGCAGGCGGCCCGUUAAGACAGGUGUGAAAUCCCUGGGCUCAACCUAGGAAUUGCGCUUGUGACUGGCGGGCUCGAGUACGGUAGAGGGGGGUGGAAUUCCUGGUGUAGCGGUGAAAUGCGUAGAUAUGCGGAGGAACACCGAUGGCGAAGGCAAUCCCCUGGGCCUGUACUGACGCUCAUGCACGAAAGCGUGGGGAGCAAACAGG
rnacentral:rRNA from 1 species